UCCUCGUCUCCUUUCUGACCUCUGCACUCAUGUCCGCCAAGUCCUCCAGCGCCUCCUCCAAAACCGUCUGUAUGUCAAACCGGAAAAAUGCGAAUUCCACCUCUCCUCUGUACAUUUUCUUGGCUACAUCAUUGCCAAAGGACAAUUGCAGCCAGACCCUGCCAAGAGCCAAGCAAUCACUGACUGGCCCAUUCCCACCACUCGGAAAGAACGCCAACGUUUCCUCGGAUUCGCCAACUUCUACCGCCGCUUCAUCUGCAAUUACAGCAAGGUUGCAAUUCCCCUCACCAGCCUCACAUCCACCAGUUCCCCCUUGCAUCCUAACUAAGCUUUUAGCUAACUCAAAACCCUGUUCACCAGUGCUCCCAUUCUACGUCACCCCGACCCCUCCCUCCAAUUCGUGGUGGAGGUUGAUGCCACGGACACUGGGGCAGGCGCUGGCCUCUCGCAGCGGGACCCCGCGUCCCAGUGCCUUUUUCUCCCGUCGCCUGUCCCCUGCCGAGAGGAAUUAUGACGUUGGCAACUGAGAGCUGUUAGCCAUCGUAUGGCCAAUGGAAGAGUGGAUGCACUGGCUGGUGGCGACUGAAGUACUGUUUAUCAUCUGGACUGAUCACAAAAACCUUUCCUACCUCCAUUCCGCCAAACGCCUUAACCCCCGACAAGCUCGCUGGGCCCUCUUCCUAAGCCGAUUCAAUUUCAGCCUCUCCUUCCGACCUGGAUCCUGCAACAGCAAACCUGACCCUCUCUCCCACAUAUACUCACCCCCAUUCAGCCCUGCAGAACCCGAGACUAUCCUCCCUUCCUCCUGCUUCGUCCGUGCGGCCUCUUGGAAAAUUUAACAAAUUGUCAAAUGCGCUCAAAGGACUCACCCUGACACAAAGACUGGACCUCUGAACUGUCUUUUCAUACCCGAUUCCGCACGCUCUGACGUCCUUCCAUGGGCCCAUAACUCCAAGCUCACGUGUCAUCCCGGCAUCAUCCACACUAUCCAAUUCGUUCAGCAACUUUUCUGGUGGCCUAUCCUGGUCAAAGACACCCAGGAAUUUGUCGAAGUCUGCUCUGUCUGCGCCCGAGGCAGGGCUUCACAUCUGCCUCGAGCUGGUCUGCUGCGCCCCUUACCCAUCCCGAGCAACCCAUGGUCCGCCAUCGCUUUAGAUUUCAUCACUGGCCUGCCUCCUUCUGAAGUAUCCCCAUCGACAUCGUCUCGGACCGAGGUCCCCAGUCCUCCUCCCUAGUUUGGAAAUAAUUCCCCAAAGCGGUGGGCGCAGCACCCAGCUUGUCCUCAGGGUACCAUCCACAGACCAAUGGCCAGACGGAGCAGGCAAAUCAAUCUCGAGAAUCAGCCCUUCGCUUAGUUGCCACACGCAACCCCACCUCCUGGAGCUCAUUUCUGCCAUGGAUUGAAUAUACCCACAACUCCCUCACCAACUCCGCCACUGGUAUUGCUCCGUUCAUGGCCUGCUACGAUUUCCAACCUCCAUUAUUUAAGGAACAGGAGCAUGGUGUGUUGGUUCCCGCGGUGAGGGAUCAUCUGAAAAGGGUCCAGUUGGUGUGGAAGGACGUCAGGGCGGCCUUGGUCCAAUCUGAAUAAACGGCUCGCCGACCUUCGUCAUUCCCUUGCACUCUCUCUCUCUCUCUCUCUCCCUCUCUCUUUCCAGCACCUUCCUCGGUUGCGCACCUGUCACCAAUCAACCCUCGUUACCACCUGCAUAAAAGCCUGCCUGAUCCCACAAAUCUUUGCCAGAGUAUUCCAGCUUCUCUAGCGUGUUCCCUCCGUGUUCCUCGCCAAGUGAAUUCCUACUGUCAUGCUGCCAAGCCAGCGGCCUGCCCUUGUCGCCGCCUGCUAUGCAUUCCCUGCCUCCACAACCCACCAGUGCACCUCAAGGACCAGCUACAUUUCCCUUUUUCAAUAAACUGUUAAUCACUGCACUGUUCAGCCUCCGCCUGCUCCUGGGUCCAGUCUCCAUCCGUUCUUGACACCACAUUGUAUUUACGGUUCCCUCAGAGGGCCAUUAUGACUGUGAAACCAAACAAAUGGUUAAUCGCUUUAUUUUAUUGCAUCUACACUACAAAUUGAUGGAUAACCAAUUUUGAAAACAAAAGUCAAGGAUAAUAGGCUGUUCUGUUACUGUAAAAAAGGGGAUUGGAGACAGAAAAAUGCUAAAUAAUAUUCAAAUACUAAUAUUAUUUAUUGCAUUUGACAAUUUGAAAUGUUGGUACAGAUUUUUGCAAGAAUCUUGGAAGUUGAUGCACAUGAU